rnacentral:misc_RNA from 1 species
UCUCUACAGGUCAGUGGAUGGCAC